rnacentral:misc_RNA from 1 species
AAAUUUAUAGAGCAAAAUAUUAUUGCAUUACUUGUAUCAAUAUGAUGUUUUCCAAAUGAACCAAAAGAAAACAUGGUGUUCAUCACUGAAGAGUCUGUACAACAAGAUCGUCAAAACGCCAUUGCCUCGAUCUAAGUGUUGAUGCUUAUCUACCACAAACCGAUUCCAUGUCCAUCGAUAGAACUCUCCAAGCUACUCUUGGAAAGUUAACCAUCGAUGAUCAUGCAGACGCA